UUAUGCUUUCUCUUUCCUUUAAUUUCCCUCAGCAGAGAAGAGAGAGAUGUAUACAGAAGAGAAAAAAAACAAAAAACAUAACAUUGCAACCAAUCAGCAGCUGGUAUAUACGGUGUAGCAAUCCACCACUCUUCCUCUUUCCGUAGUGAUCCGAAGACCAGCAGAAAAACCGAAGACUGUAGAACUGUAAACUGGAUAGUAGACGUAUGUCCUUCCUCCGUGGGAUAACGAUUCAACUUUCUCAAGGUUUCCGAACUGUGGCGUAUGCUUUUGCGCU